rnacentral:rRNA from 1 species
GACGAACGCCGGCGGCGUGCUUAACACAUGCAAGUCGAGCGGAAAGGCCACUUCGGUGGUACUCGAGCGGCGAACGGGUGAGUAACACGUGAGUAAUCUGCCCUUCACUCUGGGAUAGCCACCGGAAACGGUGAUUAAUACCGGAUAUGACCACCGUGGGCAUCCACUGGUGGCGGAAACUUUUUUGGGUGGGGGAUGUGCUCGCGGCCUAUCAGCUUGUUGGUGGGGUAAUGGCCUACCAAGGCUUCGACGGGUAGCCGGCCUGAGAGGGUGACCGGCCAAACUGGGACUGAGACACGGCACAGACUCCUACGGGAGGCAGCAGUGGGGAAUAUUGGACAAUGGGCGGAAGCCUGAUCCAGCAACGCCGCGUGAGGGAUGACGGCCUUCGGGUUGUAAACCUCUUUCAGCACCGACGAAGCGCAAGUGACGGUAGGUGCAGAAGAAGGACCGGCCAACUACGUGCCAGCAGCCGCAGUAA